rnacentral:misc_RNA from 1 species
UUGUAGAAGACAAACCAAAUUAAUAACUUAUUUCACAAAAUCAUGUUGGAUUACUUUCUGGGGCAAGUCGCAUCAAUCUUUUCAUCAAACAACUUAGUAUAACUCAAACAAAUACUCAAACUAAAUUAAUCAAAGUACAAACACAUUCAGUUCUUAAACCAGCGAGAGGAGACCAUUGAUCUUACUUGCUAUUUAGCCUCUCUAUGACAGUUAUAAGACCUUGCGUGCCAAGAUGCCCAUCACCGUUUGCCACCAUCCCGGCAAACAACUGCUUACUCAAAGCAGCACCAGGCAGCACUGGUACCCUCCUAUCCUCACUUUCCUCCACCAGAUCCACGCCCAUGCCCAAGUCCUUCACCAUGUACUCAGCAAACCCGCCCGGCCUAAAGUCCCUCUCGAUCAUUCUCUCCCCAUAUAACUCCAUCACCAUCGAACCUGCCGCCCCUCCCCUCACCGCAUCCAUCCACUUCUUUACAUCUAGCCCCGCCUUCUCUGAGAACAACAGCCCUUCGCUCAACCCCAACAAAUUGCCCCCCACCACGAUUUGGUUAGCUAUCUUGCAACUCUGACCACACCCCGCUGGACCCAUGUAAGUAGCUUUACCCAACAGCUCAAAUAAGGGUGAUAACCACUUAAUAACGCCUUCAUCUCCGCCAGCCAAUAUAGCCAAUUUGCCAUCCCUGGCACCAAUAUCCCCACCAGAAACCGGCGAAUCAACAGCCCAACAACCUUUCGUCCUGGCAGCUGCAAAGAUUUCCCGCGCAAGAGAAGGAUGGCUACUGGUGGUAUCCACUAUAACACCGCCAGGAUUAAGCCCUGCAAGAACACCUUUGCCUUGGCUUUCCAAGACAACUGAUCGAACAUCUGAUGGGUGUCCCACCAUGGUGAAGACAACAUCACUGCACUUUGCGACAUCAAGCGGAGAACUAGCGAGAUGGGCACCUUUGGACUGCAAGGAAAGGGCUUUGGAUGGUGUGCGAGUAUAUACGGUGAGGAAGUAGCCGGCAGAGAGAAGGCGAGAGGCCAUAGCAGCACCCAUUACGCCUACGCCUAUCCAGCCUAUCCGAGUUUUGGCAGGAGAGAUAGGUUCUGGGUAUGGAGUCUCCAUUGGAGAAAUGCAAUUUGGCUCUACAGAGGUGAUGCCAGAGAGAGAUUAUCGGCAGAGAAAUUGACCAAAAUUUGGGAGUGUUAUGUCCUAUCCAACCAUGCAUACAGAGCUCAGCUGCUGCUCA